rnacentral:lncRNA from 1 species
CUGUAGACCGCCCAGGGAAUCCUGUAGAACGCCCGAUAGUAUAAACAUAAAAAAACAAUCAACAGGGCAUCCUGUAGACCGCCCAGGGGAUCCGGUAGAAUAGAACGCCUUUAGUAUAUAAAUAAUAAACAAACAAUAUAGGGGAUCCUAUAGAACGUCCUAUAGUAGAUAUAUAAUGUAAAGACAAAAGGGGAUCCUGUAGACCGCCCAGGGGAUCCUAUUGAACGCCCUUUAGUAUA